UACGGAGGGACUAGCGUUGUCCGGAAUUAUUGGGCGUAAAGCGCGCGUAGGCGGUUUCUUAAGUCUGAUGUGAAAUCUUGCGGCUCAACCGCAAGCGGUCAUUGGAAACUGGGGAACUUGAGUGCAGAAGAGGAAAGUGGAAUUCCACGUGUAGCGGUGAAAUGCGUAGAUAUGUGGAGGAACACCAGUGGCGAAGGCGACUUUCUGGUCUGUAACUGACGCUGAGGCGCGAAAGCGUGGGGAGCAAACAGG
rnacentral:misc_RNA from 1 species